rnacentral:lncRNA from 1 species
GUAGGUAACGGAUGGAGAAGAAAUUUGAGCUUUGGAGGGGGAUACCCGAUAUCCUUUGGAGAAUAAAUGCUGAAGGAGCAGAAGUAUGUCUUGUUGAGAAGAUUCAAAGGAGGGGCUACAAAGAAGAAGGUCAUCAAUAUAUUGAAUAAGGUGAGAAGUGGAGGGGUGGAAAGAAAGUAGAUCAUGAGAAAGAGCUUGGCUGAAGUAAUGAGGGCUGUCCCUGGAACCUUGCGGCAGCACAGCCCAGGUAAGCUGCUGAGCCUAAUGGGUGUCAGGGUCAGUCUAAGUGAAGGCAAAGAGAGGCUGAGAUGAAGAGUGCAAAGGAAUAGUAAAGAAAGCAUGUUUGAGAUCCAGAACAGAAUAAUGGGUAGUAGAGGGAGGUAUUGAGGAUAGGAGAGUAUAUGGGUUUGGCACCACGGGGUGGAUAGGCAAAACAAUUUGGUUGAUAAGGCACAGAUUCUGAACUAAGUUGUAAGCCUUGUCUGGUUUUAGGACAGGUAAAACGGGGGAAUUGUAAGGAGAGUUUAUAGGCUUUAAAAGGCCAUGCUGUAGCAGGUGAGUGAUAACAGGCUUUAAUCCUUUCAAAGCAUGCUGUGGGAUGGGAUAUUGGCAUUGAGUCGGGUAAGCGUGAUUAGGUUUUAAUGAGAUGGUAAGGGGUGCAUGAUCGGUCGCCAAGGAGGGAGUAGAGGUAUCUUAUACUUGUGGGUUAAGGUGGGGGAAUACAAGAGGAGGACGCAAAGGAGGCUUUGGAUUGGGAAGAAGGGCAGCAAUGAGAUGCAGCUGUAGUCCAGGAAUAGUCAGGGAAGCAGAUAAUUUGGUUAAAAUAUCUCGGCCUGAUAAGGGAACUGGGCAGGUGGAGAUAACUAAAAAAGAGUGCAUAAAAGAGUGUUGUUCAAGUUGGCACCAGAGUUGGGGAGUUUUAAGAGGUUUAGAAGCCUGGCUGUCAAUACCCACAACAGUUAUGGAGGCAAGGGAAACAGGCCCUUGAAAAGAAGGUAAUGUGGAGUGGGUAGCCUCCAUAUUGAUUAAGAAGGGGACAGACUUACCCUCCACUGUGAGAGUUACCUAAAGCUCGGUGUCCAUGGUGGUCUACAGGGCUUCUGAGGCGAUCAGGCAGCGUCAGUCUUCAGCCACUAAGCCAAGAAGGAGUCAGUCAGAGAGCCUUGGGCCAGAGUUCCAGGGGCGCUGGGAGUGGCUGCCAGAAGACGAUGAUUCCAGAUGGAAAAAAUGGAAAUGCUUCAUCCAUGUGCUAGUUCAGCCUGUGAGAUGCUGGUGAGCCCACCUCCAGGCACUCACGGACUCCCCACCCAUUGAGUGUGGCCUGGAUUUAGUGACUCAAUCAAACGUGACAGAGUGCUGGGGUGUCAUUUUCAAGACUGGGUUAUGUGAAGACUGCAGCCUCCAUCUGGGGUGCUCUCUCUUGGAUUGCUUGCUCAGGGAUGUGGGGAGAGCUGCUGUGCUGGGAGGCUGCCCAUGUGAGUUGACUUGGAUGUGAACCUUCUGUGGCCUGCCAAUAGCCACGUGAGUGACCUUGAAAAUGGAUCAGCCUUCACUCAAGUCUCAAGAUGACUGUGGUCUUGGCUGACAGCUUGAUUGCUGUCUCAUGGGGGACCUUAAACCAAAGGCACCCUGCUAAGCCACACACAGCUUCCUGGCCCACAGAAACUAUGAAAUAAUAACCAUUUCUUAUAUAAGCCUCCAAGUUUUGGGAGUAAUAUUUUGCACAGUGAUGGAUCACUAAUACAAGCCAGUCAUCAGUUGAAAGACACUGAAUUUAUUUCCAGUUUUAUGUGAUUAUGAAUAAUGUCACCAUAUGCAUUUGCAUACAGGUGUUUGUGUGGACACUGCUGUCAUUUCUCUUGGGAAGAUACUGAGGAGUCAGAUUGCUGGAUCCCGUGAAGAAUGUAUGUUGAAUGUUAUAAAAAUCUGCCAACUUAAAUCUGUUUCCUGGUGCUCUUUCGUCAGCAUUGGGAGAUGCUCUAACAUUUCUCACCAAGUCUUUCUUCUGCUCAUGCGCUCCCUCUUCUUUCCCUAAGACUUCAAUCAUCCUCCUCAUUGCCCUUUAUAUCUCUAAACCAUUGUCUGGAGUUUCCAUUCUUCCCUUUUGCUUCAAUCUGUUUCAUUCUGGGGAUUUUCUGAGUUAUCUUCCACUUCUCCAGUUAUUUUUUAUUUGUUUUGUUUUUAAACAACUAUAUCUAAUUAAAUUUAACUUUAUCCUCUGUUGUACUCAAUUUUAUUACUGCAUUUUCCAAUUUCAGAAUUUCCAUUUGACGAUUUCCUUAUAGUUUCCUAUUUCUGCUGAAAUUCUCGUUGUUUUAUUUCGUG